rnacentral:rRNA from 1 species
UACGGAGGGUACAAGCGUUGUUCGGAAUCACUGGGCGUAAAGCGCGUGUAGGCGGUUUCUUAAGUCUGAUGUGAAAGCCCGGGGCUUACCCCCGGAAGUGCAUUGGAAACUGGGAGACUCGAGUACCGGAGAGGAAGGUGGAAUUCCUGGUGUAGCGGUGAAAUGCGUAGAUAUCAGGAGGAACACCGGUGGCGAAGGCGGCCUUCUGGACGGAUACUGACGCUGAGACGCGAAAGCGUGGGGAGCAAACAGG